CCUACGGGUGGCAGCAGUAGGGAAUCUUCCACAAUGGGCGAAAGCCUGAUGCAGCAACGCCGCGUGAAUGAAGAAUGUCUUCGGAUCUUAAAACCCUGUUGUUAGAGAAGUAAGUGCGUGAAAGUAUCUGUUCACGUUUCGACGUUAUCUAACCAGAAAGCCACGGCUAACUCCGUGCCAGCAGCCGCGGUAAUACGUAGGUGGCAAGCGUUAUCCGGAUUUAUUGGGCGUAAAGGUAACGCAGGCGGUCUUUUAAGUCUGAUGUGAAAGCCUUCGGCUUAACCGGAGUAGUGCAUUGGAUACUGGCAGACUUGAGUGCAGAAGAGGAGGGUGGAACUCCAUGUGUAGCGGUGAAAUGCGUAGAUAUAUGGAAGAACACCAGUGGCGAAAGCGGCUCUCUGGUCUGUAACUGACGCUGAGGUUCGAAAGCGUGGGUAGCAAACAGGAUUAGAUACCCUUGUAGUC
rnacentral:rRNA from 1 species